UAUGAUAGAGGCGCAUUCCCGAAAAGUAGCUCUGCCGAGGCCGCCGAGGCCGUCGAAGCCGGGCAAAAGGCGCGGAGUGCCGAAGUUUCCGUCUGCGGCAGGACGGACGCUGGUCGCUACGGCAAACAGCCCUGCGACUGUCAUCGCAAGAUGGAGAGCUAUCUUA
rnacentral:ncRNA from 1 species